AGACCCGAAACCCGGUGAUCUAGCCAUGGGCAGGUUGAAGGUUGGGUAACACUAACUGGAGGACCGAACCGACUAAUGUUGAAAAAUUAGCGGAUGACCUGUGGCUGGGGGUGAAAGGCCAAUCAAACCGGGAGAUAGCUGGUUCUCCCCGAAAGCUAUUUAGGUAGCGCCUCGUGAAUUCAUCUCCGGGGGUAGAGCACUGUUUCGGCUAGGGGGCCAUCCCGGCUUACCAACCCGAUGCAAACUGCGAAUACCGGAGAAUGUUAUCACGGGAGACACACGGCGGGUGCUAACGUCCGUCGUGAAGAGGGAAACAACCCAGACCGCCAGCUAAGGUCCCAAAGUCAUGGUUAAGUGGGAAACGAUGUGGGAAGGCCCAGACAGCCAGGAUGUUGGCUUAGAAGCAGCCAUCAUUUAAAGAAAGCGUAAUAGCUCACUGGUCGAGUCGGCCUGCGCGGAAGAUGUAACGGGGCUAAACCAUGCACCGAAGCUGCGGCAGCGACGCUGAUGCGUUGUUGGGUAGGGGAGCGUUCUGUAAGCCUGUGAAGGUGGCCUGUGAGGGUUGCUGGAGGUAUCAGAAGUGCGAAUGCUGACAUAAGUAACGAUAAAGCGGGUGAAAAGCCCGCUCGCCGGAAGACCAAGGGUUCCUGUCCAACGUUAAUCGGGGCAGGGUGAGUCGACCCCUAAGGCGAGGCCGAAAGGCGUAGUCGAUGGGAAACGGGUUAAUAUUCCCGUACUUGGUGUUACUGCGAAGGGGGGACGGAGAAGGCUAUGUUGGCCGGGCGACGGUUGUCCCGGUUUAAGCGUGUAGGUGUGUGUUCCAGGUAAAUCCGGUUCACUUUAACACUGAGGCGUGAUGACGAGGCACUACGGUGCUGAAGCAACAAAUGCCCUGCUUCCAGGAAAAGCCUCUAAGCAUCAGGUAACAUCAAAUCGUACCCCAAACCGACACAGGUGGUCAGGUAGAGAAUACCAAGGCGCUUGAGAGAACUCGGGUGAAGGAACUAGGCAAAAUGGUGCCGUAACUUCGGGAGAAGGCACGCUGACACGUAGGUGAAGU
rnacentral:rRNA from 1 species